GUCUAUGGCCGUGCCACCCUGAACAAGCCUAAUCCUGUCUGAUCUCGGAUUGGGCCUGGUUAGUACUUGAAUGGGAGACCUCCUAGGAAGACCAGGUGCUGUAAGAG
rnacentral:rRNA from 1 species